CAUCCUUUUCCUGUGAACUUUAUUGAUUUUAUUUUGGUCAGGAGUAUUUUUCUCUUGGCCAAAAGAUUUUUUAAACCCAAUUUAUUUUUAACCUUUAUGUCUGAACUGAAAUAUUGAAUUAUUCAAAACUUUCAACAACGGAUCUCUUGGUUCUCGCAUCGAUGAAGAACGCAGCGAAACGCGAUAUGUAAUGUGAAUUGCAGAAUUUUGUGAAUCAUCGAAUCUUUGAACGCACAUUGCGCCCUCUGGUAUUCCGGAGGGCAUACCUGUUUGAGCGUCAUUUCCCUCUCAAACAUUUUGUUUGGUGUUAAGUCCUAUUCACACUUACGUGUGAUGACUUGAAAUGCAUUGGCAGGACAGUAUUUUUCCAUGUAUUGACAACGUAUUAGGUUCUACCAACUCGUUGGAAAUUGGGAGAUACAAUGGUCAGGCCUUUACAACCGUGACAACAAAGUUUGACCUCAAAUCAGGCAGGAUUACCCGCUGAACUUAAGCAUAUCAAUAAGCGGAGGA
rnacentral:rRNA from 1 species